rnacentral:rRNA from 1 species
AUUGAACGCUAGCGGGAUGCCUUACACAUGCAAGUCGAGCGAGUGGCGGACGGGUGAGUAAUGUAUCGGAACGUGCCCAGUAGCGGGGGAUAACUACUCGAAAGGGUGGCUAAUACCGCAUACUAUUGGCUCGACCGAUAUCGGAUUAGCUAGUGGGUGGGGUAAAGGCUCACCAAGGCAACGAUCCGUAGCUGGUCUGAGAGGACGACCAGCCACACUGGGACUGAGACACGGCCCAGACUCCUACGGGAGGCAGCAGUGGGGAAUUUUGGACAAUGGGGGAAAGCCUGAUCCAGCCAUCCCGCGUGUAUGAGAAGGCCUUCGGGUUGUAAAGUACUUUUGGCAGAGAAGCGGUACCUGCAGAAUAAGCACCGGCUAACUCCGUGCCAGCCGCCGCGGUAAUUC